rnacentral:sRNA from 1 species
UUUGCCCAAUGGGACGGGCCAACGGUUGUGGUCUGGCUAGAGCUCUGGGUUGGGAUGCCAGCCUGGUAUGUGGCUGCCUGCCGAGCAAACGUGAAAAGCGGGGCCAUCAUGUCGGCCCUGUCCGACACAGAGAUCCAGCGUGAGAUUGGCAUCAGCAACCCCCUGCACAGGCUGAAGCUGAGGCUGGCCAUCCAGGAGAUCAUGUCGCUGACCAGCCCGUCUGCCCCGCCCACAUCUAGAACGGUACGUUCAGAGACAACCCCUGCAUUCUUUGGAAACAGGGAAUGCCUCUCUGAAGGUAUCACUGCCCUGUUUACAUUGCUUCUCCAGUUCCUUAACAGCAUAUGAAGUAUAGUUCUAAUUCAAAAUUUUAGCAUCACAUACAUUAGAACUUUUAAUUUUGGGGAAUUGGAUGGUCAAAAGAAACUUUAUUAAAUGCUUUUAUGAAAGAUUGGCUAGAAUGGCUUCAUACUAUAAAAAUAUGAGCUUUUUUAAACAUAGAAAAGCAAUUACAAAUUUAAAUAUGGAAAUAUGAAAAAUAUGAAAUACGAAAAUACCA